rnacentral:rRNA from 1 species
AGAAUCAACGCUGGCGGCGUGCCUAACACAUGCAAGUCGAACGAGAAAGUGGAGCAAUCCAUGAGUAAAGUGGCGCACGGGUGAGUAACACGUGACUAACCUACCCUUGAGUGGGGGAUAACCUAGGGAAACCUGGGCUAAUACCGCAUAAUACCUUCGGGUCAAAGGAGCAAUUCGCUUAAGGAGGGGGUCGCGGCCGAUUAGUUAGUUGGCGGGGUAAUGGCCCACCAAGACUGUGAUCGGUAUCCGGCCUGAGAGGGCGCACGGACACACUGGAACUGAAACACGGUCCAGACUCCUACGGGAGGCAGCAGUGGGGAAUUUUGCGCAAUGGGGGAAACCCUGACGCAGCAACGCCGCGUGGAGGAUGAAGUCCCUGGGACGUAAACUCCUUUCGAUCGGGACGAUAAUGACGGUACCGAGAGAAGAAGCCCGGCUAACUUCGCGCCAGCAGCCGC